rnacentral:rRNA from 1 species
CCUACGGGUGGCAGCAGUGGGGAAUAUUGCACAAUGGGGGGAACCCUGAUGCAGCGACGCCGCGUGAGUGAAGAAGUAUUUCGGUAUGUAAAGCUCUAUCAGCAGGGAAGAAAAUGACGGUACCUGACUAAGAAGCCCCGGCUAACUACGUGCCAGCAGCCGCGGUACUACGUAGGGGGCAAGCGUUAUCCGGAUUUACUGGGUGUAAGGGGAGCGCAGACGGCUGUGCAAGUCUGGAGUGAAAGGCGGGGGCCCAACCCCCGGACUGCUCUGGAAACUGUAAAGCUGGAGUGCAGGAGAGGUAAGCGGAAUUCCUAGUGUAGCGGUGAAAUGCGUAGAUAUUAGGAGGAACACCAGUGGCGAAGGCGGCUUACUGGACUGCAACUGACGUUGAGGCUCGAAAGCGUGGGGAGCAAACAGGAUUAGAUACCCUUGUAGUC